UUUGUUCAGGAGUUUUUGGUUUUGACUGUACCUGCAUUGUAAAACACAUCAUUUGUUACAUUGUUUUUGAGGCAAAUCAAUUUAAACAAUGCGACUGAUCCGUGUAAAUGUAAGUAUAUAAAAUGUUGUAGUUUCAAUUUUGUCGACAUAACUAUGCUGUAGGUAGGAAGUAUAUGUUCACGUCAUGGACAUGAAAAUAUUAUUUAUUUUGUGUGUUGUGUGCAUGGUGGUGGCCGUACCUGAGAAUGGACAUAGACAGAGGAGGGAGAUAGAACGUCGACAGUACAAUAUUGGAGGACCGGUCCCCCCGCCACCAUUUGGUCCAAUAUCUCCGUCACCUUAUCCUGGCUGGAAUUCUCCGGGACCAAGGCCUCGCCCUUGGCGCCCUGGCAAACGGCGACCAAGACCAUUUCGACC